rnacentral:rRNA from 1 species
UACGAAGGGGGCUAGCGUUGCUCGGAAUCACUGGGCGUAAAGGGUGCGUAGGCGGGUUUUUAAGUCAGGGGUGAAAUCCUGGAGCUCAACUCCAGAACUGCCUUUGAUACUGAAAAUCUUGAGUCCGGGAGAGGUGAGUGGAACUGCGAGUGUAGAGGUGAAAUUCGUAGAUAUUCGCAAGAACACCAGUGGCGAAGGCGGCUCACUGGCCCGGUACUGACGCUGAGGCACGAAAGCGUGGGGAGCAAACAGG